rnacentral:lncRNA from 1 species
GGGUCCCAGGGGGGUCCCCAGGCCGGGGGUCCGCUCUCACCGCGCAGCAGAGCCCUCACGAAGCGCCCGGCUCCCGGCACCGCCAGCCACCAACUCCCGGCAUCGCGCACGGUCAGGAGCCCCGCGGCCACCAGAGCCCUGCUGGGGCCACCAGAACCCGGCUGGGGCCACCAGAGCCCUGCCGGGGCCACCAAAACCCGGCUGUGGCCACCAAAACCCGGCUGUGGCCACCAAAACCCGGCUGUGGCCACCAAAACCCGGCUGGGGCCACCAAAACCCGGCUGGGGCCACCAAAACCCUGCUGUGGCCACCAAAACCCAGCCAUGGCCACCAGAACCCGGCUGUGGCCACCAGAACCCGGCUGGGGCCACCAAAACCCGGCUGUGGCCACCAGAGCCCUGCUGGGGCCACCAAAACCCUGCUGGGGCCACCAAAACACGGCUGUGGCCACCAAAGCCUGGCUGUGGCCAUCAGAACCUGGCUGUGGCUACCAGAACCCGGCUGUGGCCACCAGAACCCGGCUGUGGCCACCAGAACCCCCCAGAGCCACCCUGGGGGUCCCAAACCCCACCCUGGGCUGUCCCCAGGUCCCCCCAGGUGUCCCCAUGACCCCCAGGUGUCCCCAGGUGUGUUCCAGGUGUGUUUUUGGUGUCCCCAGGUGUCCCCCCAUGACCCCCAGCUGUCCCCAAAUGUCCCCAGGUGUCCCCAGGUGAGGUUUUGGUGUCCCCAGGUGUCCCCAGGUGAGGUUUGGGGUGUCCCAGGUGUGUUUUUGGUGUCCCCAGGUGAGGUUUUGGUGUCCCCAGGUGUGUCCCAGGUGUCCUUAGGUGUGUCCCAGGUGUCCCCAGGUGUGUCCCCAGGUGUCCCAGGUGUCCCCAGGUCCCCGCAGGUGUCCCCAGGUGUCCCCAGGUGUCCCCAGCUGUCCCCAGGUGUCCCCAGGGGUCCCCAG